UUGUUGAAUGACUAAAAGCCCACCCCAAGGAGCAAAGAAAAAUCUCUCCUUUCACACACUUCCCAGGGCCUGCUCAGUGCCUUGCUCUGGAAACAGAGCUUGGUGAGCUUCCUGGGGAGGGUCUCUGCCUAGGGCACCUUCAGCUCAGGUGGUGGGGGGCAUCAUUCCUUAGGGCUGAGCCGGGCUGGGGGUGGGAGCCCCCGCCCUCACCACUGCUCCGUCUGUGUGCAGUGCUGAUCCUGGUCGGCGUGGGACUGGAGGCGACCCCCUCUCCAGGUGUCUCCAGCGCCAUCUUCUUCGUGCCGGGCUUCCUGUUGCUGGUGCCUGGAGUCUAUCACGUGAUCUUCAUCUACUGCGCGGUCAAGGGCCACCGGGGCUUCCAGUUCUUCUACCUGCCCUACUUCGAGAAGUGACCGCGGCGCAGCGUGGACUCCUUGCGUCCACGGGGGCGCCCCUCGGACCCGCGCCCUGUUCCGUUCCCCUCAUCUCAAGGGACGAGGCCCUCCAGGACCCUCGAAACCCCAGCCCCUAGGGAGUUUGCUCAGGAAGUUUGGGGCAUGCAGGCCUGG
rnacentral:sRNA from 1 species